GAGCCAUUGCUAUCGGAGUCCGAUUUAGCCAUGCUAGUCGCACGAGUCUUAGACUCGUGGCAUAUAGCUCAGUAACACGUGGCCAAACUACCCUACAGACCGCAAUAACCUCGGGAAACUGAGGCCAAUAGCGGAUAUAACUCUCAGGCUGGAGUGCCGAGAGUUAGAAACGUUCCGGCGCUGUAGGAUGUGGCUGCGGCCGAUUAGGUAGAUGGUGGGGUAACGGCCCACCAUGCCGAUAAUCGGUACAGGUUGUGAGAGCAAGAGCCUGGAGACGGUAUCUGAGACAAGAUACCGGGCCCUACGGGGCGCAGCAGGCGCGAAACCUUUACACUGCACGACAGUGCGAUAGGGGGACUCCGAGUGUGAGGGCAUAUAGCCCUCGCUUUUCUGCACCGUAAGGUGGUGCAAGAAUAAGGACUGGGCAAGACCGGUGCCAGCCGCCGCGGUAAUACCGGCAGUCCAAGUGAUGGCCGAUAUUAUUGGGCCUAAAGCGUCCGUAGCUUGCUGUGAUAAGUCCAUUGGGAAAUCGACCAGCCCAACUGGUCGACGUCCGGUGGAAACUACACAGCUUGGGGCCGAGAGACUCAACGGGUACGUCCGGGGUAGGAGUGAAAUCCUAUAAUCCUGGACGGACCACCAAUGGGGAAACCACGUUGAGAGACCGGACCCGACAGUGAGGGACGAAAGCCAGGGUCUCGAACCGGAUUAGAUACCCGGGUAGUCCUGGCCGUAAACAAUGCUCGCUAGGUAUGUCGCGCGCCAUGAGCACGUGAUGUGCCGUAGUGAAGACGAUAAGCGAGCCGCCUGGAAGUACUCCGCA
rnacentral:rRNA from 1 species